AUAUAUCGUGAUACUGAUUUGAGGCCAUAUCGCCCAGCCCUUUUAAAACAGCUCUGCGAACUCAAAGUAUGAGGUUUUGAAGGACCAUGUAGCAGCAUAACAGUCCGUUUUCCCCUGGCCUUACACCAUGGAGGUAAGGAUAACAUCUUAUCCCAUUCAACCAUAAAAGGGGGCAGUGAUUUUAUGCCACAACAAAUACAAACACCAAAGCACACAACUCUCUAACAUGCCUUCAUUGGGAUGCAUUGAAACAGACAGCGGACUAUGACUACUUUAACGUCUCCUCUUUCCUCCUCUCCUGCUCAGCCUGCUGUGUCCCUGCUGAGGGAAAUCGACUGAUUGUAUCUCAAGGUCUUAUCAAAUCUGAUGUUCCUCGCACCACUGGAGCCGCACCGUGAUGAAUGGACGGAGAUUUCCUCUACAAGGUCAUCCUAACACCUAUAACAUCCGUCAGUGUGUGGGUGUGGGUGUGUGUGUGUGUUACCCCAUAGUAACAGUGAUGGCUUUUGUUUGUUGGCCAAAUGAAACAUCAGCAUUAUGGGAGAUAAGGAGAAAGAGACGGAGAUGGAUGUGUGAGGCGGCUUCAUUACCCAGGUGAGCAGAUCUGAAGAAACGCACUGCAGAAAAAUAAAACGCCAUCCGGUACUCCAAUACGACCUACAGGAGUGUCCCUGAAACAACAAAGUCUAACAGCAGAAGGAAAAAGCUCCUACAACAGAUAAACACCAAUUUAGGUAAAACUAAGACAGAAUUCAGUCUAGGGCUGGGCGAUAUGGC